AACGAACGCUGGCGGCAGGCCUAACACAUGCAAGUCGAACGAUAUAGUGGCAGACGGGUGAGUAACGCGUGGGAACGUACCUUUCACUACGGAAUAGCUCUGGGAAACUGGUGGUAAUACCGUAUACGCCCUUCGGGGAAGGAUUAUCGGUGAAGAUCGGCCCGCGUUAGAUUAGGUAGUUGGUGGGGUAAGUGGCCUACCAAGCCUACGAUCUAUAGCUGGUCUGAGAGGAUGAUCAGCCACACUGGGACGUGAGACACGGCCCAGACUCCUACGGGAGGCAGCAGUGGGGGAAUCUUGCACAAUGGGCGAAAGCCUGAUGCAGCCAUGCCGCGUGAAUGAUGAAGGCCUUAGGGUUGUAAAAUUCUUUCGCUAGGGAUGAUAAUGACAGUACCUAGUAAAGAAGCCCGGCUAACUUCGUGCCAGCAGCCGCGGUAAA
rnacentral:rRNA from 1 species